AAGAAAACAUUUAAACUAGAAGAAAACAUUUGACCCUGAUAAAAAGGCCUAUAUUAACUACAAAAGUUGCAAUGAGAUGAACAUAUACCUCAACACACCACAAAUCUUAAACAUGGUGAUGAGAUCAACAAAUGUUAAUUCAGUAAAAAUAUGAACUCUGAACCUAAAUAACAGUGACAACAACAGCAGUAUAAAUUUAGCCAGUAAAAAAUGCAAAUCAAUGAUCUUUAUAUUCAAGCUGCAAUGGAUGCUGGGAACAGACACAACAUCGUUCAACAUAAAAUUGUUUGAACUGUAGGCUACGAUAUGACACCAUGUCUACUACACCGGAUGGGAGUAGCGCGACAAACCCAUUAUAAUCAGGGAUGUUGUCUACACUGGAAGCGGCGCAGUGUUGCCAAGUCCGCGGUUUUCCAGAGGAAUUGGGCUACUUUUACCCUGUUGCCGCUGGUGGUUUUUCAUGUCCGCGGGUUGAAUCGACCCAAAAUAACGUGAUAUUAUAGCCCCCGGAACGCGAAUUGUACCAGGGAAGCCCACUGAAAUGCGAUUGGGCUAGUUUUGAGGGCGGUUUUUGUUGUGAAAACCUGGCAACCCUGAAGCGGCGCGACUUGGGCGACAAAUCUCCGACAGUAAACUCGUUCUAUUUAUGACGUUGGCCUGCUGACACGGAGGACACAUGUUUUAGCUCUUGCGACGCGAGCGACAACGGUCGCGUCCGGUGUAGACACGGUAACGGCUCGAGCGAACACGACAGCACCUUGACCUCUAGAAAUAUGCGCGUACGGAGCCGUUAUAUCGUACAAUUCAAAUAUAAACAUCAAGAUACCCACUAGUCGCUGACGUUUUCCAACGGCUCUGGCUGAAGUUAAAGGACAGCACACAGUUUUGUACACAAUUUGUUUUUGCGUUUCUGUAACUCUCACUAAAGAGGAUGUUAUUGAAAGGAAAUAUGAAUAAGAUGGAUUUGUUUAUUGACAACUAGAAAAUGGAGAAGAAGCAGAGAUGUUGUAGUGCACUGCUGAACUACGACAGAAGAGUUCUCUGCUGUUUUACAUAUUCCUCAACAGAGGUGUGUGCAUGGCAAUCAGCUCACUAGGGUUAGAGGUCAUCUCCCUGGAGAAGUGCAGGGUUUUGGAUACCAUGGUGACCAGGUUACUGCCACCCAUGUCACUGCUUUCUCGCUCUCUCUCUCUCUGACUAUGAAUCUCUUCCUGUUUCUCCCAUUCAUCUCCCAUCACCUUUGUCUUUUGCUUGUGGAAAUUUAGCUUGGCCUAGAGAAACAUGGUUAGGAAAAUUAGUAAAAAUAAACAAACAAAAAAAUCCCCUAACCCUGUGUAUCAAAUGUCUUUUUGUGGAUAGUUUAAGGUUUAGGCAAAAAAAGAUCAGUGGUGUAGUGAGUAGUGUAGCUCACACAGAAGUCACUUUCAAACCAAGCAGCUUUCUUGAACUUGUAGAAUUCGUAGGCUAAAUUCCUGGUCUCAUGGAUUCCUAUUUAAAUGACUUUAUUUUACCCGUGAAAAUUUGUCAAACAACUGUAAAUGUGCCCACACCUUUACACUGUGUCAUAACUAGACGCCAUGCAGCAAAGCGACAAGCAAUAAGAGUUAUUUCUAAGUAGUUUCAUUUUUUUUUUCUAACCACCUGCAACAAUCGAUAGGACUUUUGUCGUUCUUGCGGGAGCACAAACGUUUUUGUGGGGGAACGCAGUUUCUCGGAGGAACGCAAAUAUUUGCGAGAAAGCAAAAGCAUGUUCCUCCCAUGAUCUAAUUUUUUUCAACCACCAUGUCCUCUUAAGGGUCUAAAAUCACAUUCCAUUUUAACAUAAAGUAUUAGAUAUGUUUUAUUUGGUUGUUAUUGUGUUACUGGAAACUUAAAAACACACAUGGUUUGGACAAAGUGAGGAGAGCUAUCUAUUUUUGAAAACUUAGUCAACAUAAAAUAAAAAUUCACCCUUUUUCUAAAUGGAUGUUAUUGGUCUUACUGUGAACAAUUCAUCCUUGUAUACAUACUACUAAUUUUUAUUUAAAAUGUCAUCUUAAAAUAUGUAAAAUACUUAAAAUGUCAUAACGUAAAAUACUCUGAAUAUUAAUAUGAGACUGAUAGUAAUUUAACAAUAUAGAAUAUUCAGAGUAUCUUCAGAUUAGCCGAUAGUGAUGACUUUAUUGUUAUAUUUGGGUACUGAAUUGCGAUUUGGUCUUUCUUAUGUCUCUUUUAAUACUGAAUUUUUGAUUAGCAUUGCCCUUUUUUAUAUAUUUAAGUUUCAAUUUGACUUUACACUGUGCAGUGACUGCUUGUCUUGAUUCUUCUGUGCAGGUGACCGAAAACAAGACAGGCAAUAUUUCCAUAACUAAAGCUAAAACUUAAAGGCAUCUUUAACACAUUUAUAUUGCUGCUUUGCAAAGCUCUGUUAUUUCUUUCAAGAUGUGCAUAUCUAUAUUUUUUUCUCUUCCAUGGUUCACUUAGUGCAUAUUACCAUGCUAAAUUCCUCUGUUCAGCUCUGUGCAGGUGUAUGGUACAUGCUAGUAUAGAGAUUGUGUGGGUGUGUGUGUUUGUUGCAUCAGUGAGAUGAUGUUUGUAACCUUGUUUUAUACAUGUCUUAGACAGAAAUUUCAGACCAGACGACUUUUUUUUUAACUUUAGAUAGACAUUAGACAUUAGACAAAAUAGACAUUUUGUGUCUAUGUGUGUGUGUGAACUCCAUGAAAGCGCGAAAGCAUUGAGUUCAGCAACCAGAUAUUUUUAUCCCUGUCUCGAGACCUCUCUCUUCCUUCGCAUUUCUCCUCUCUUCCUCGGGCCUGUCCUCAACCCUCCCCUACCCCACUCUGAUAUGUGUUUAUCUACGUAUUUGUGUGUAUGUCGUGAGUGACAGCAAGAGAGUGACAAUAAGAGUGAGUGAUGAUUGAAUUCAUCAGUUGGAGCAGUUGUUUCCAGCAUAGCAUUUUGUUUGGAAAAGCCCACCUUCCGAAUCGUUCUCAUUAAGACAUGAUUAUUCUCAUCAGCUGGACCUCUUAAAAGCUGACCACUCAAACGCUUUCAUAAGCUACAUUUAUAAUCGGGUUGAUGGCUCAAGUACACUGAAAAGCAUUUAUAUAUACACCACAGUUGAUCUGGAUUGAGCUUGAUCCAAAUGAAAUUUCGAUCAGAUUGAAAAGGGUGUUGUAAACCUGAAAUAAUUUAAUCAGCAGGAAAAAAUUAAGCAUGUAAAUGCUUGAAUCAGACUAUUUUCUCAAUCGGAUUCAAAAAUGCUGUGAUGUGUAUGUUUACAUAUUUUACUUCUUACAAAUGUGCUUGUGUUUAUUUUUGUCUUAUAAUCUGGUCAGUGGAGGAGACUGAAUGUUUACUAAAUAUUUGAUAAAAUGCUCUUCUU